GACGAACGCUGGCGGCGUGCCUAAUACAUGCAAGUCGAACGAACCGCGACUAAGUGCUUGCACUAAGUCAAGGUGAGUGGCGAACGGGUGAGUAACACGUGGGUAACCUACCUCAUAGUGGGGGAUAACAGUCGGAAACGACUGCUAAUACCGCAUAGGACAUAGGAUCACAUGAUCCAGUGAGGAAAGGUGGCGCAAGCUAUCGCUAAGAGAUGGACCCGCGGUGCAUUAGCUAGUUGGUAGGGUAAAGGCCUACCAAGGCGAUGAUGCAUAGCCGACCUGAGAGGGUGAUCGGCCACAUUGGGACUGAGACACGGCCCAAACUCCUACGGGAGGCGGCAGUAGGGAAUCUUCCGCAAAGGACGCAAGUCUGACGGAGCAACGCCGCGUGAGUGAAGAAGGUCUUCGGAUCGUAAAGCUCUGUUGUUAGAGAAGAACAGCGCAUAGAGUAACUGCUAUGCGUGUGACGGUAUCUAACCAGAAAGCCACGGCUAACUACGUG
rnacentral:rRNA from 1 species